GUUUUGAGUUUUUAACAAUUUAAAGACAUGAAGCGGCUCCGAAUGUGCAGACAGAUGGUGAAAACCAAGUUACAUGGCUAUUAUAAUAUGCUAACAUUUUGGGCAAUUGAAAUCAUCAUCAAAUAUUCAGCAACAUGCCCAACAGCAAACUUUGCAGCCUGUUUUACAAGAAAUGAAGUUAAUGACAAAUGCAUUAAGAAGAUUUGAAGGGCCAAGAGGAGCUUGGUGCUGCAAGUUUGCAAGAACAUGAAGAGAUCACAAAGUUGAAAAAUAUAGCUG